GGCGACGUAGCCAAGCGGUAAGGCGAAGGUCUGCAAAACCUUUAUUCAGCGGUUCAAUUCCGCUCGUCGCCUCCA
rnacentral:tRNA from 1 species